GUAAGAAGGCUCCGCGGCUCCCAAGGCGACCCAAGAAUGACCCACCCCGUCAUGGGCACGUCCAGAAUGGGACGAGGUCGAGGCUGAAAACGGACUAGCAGCUACGUCAAGGAACGAUACUGAGGGAGAACACUUGUCUAGGUAGUGUUCACCACGUCACCCGGGUGGUGUUCACCUGCGUGACCACGUCACGCGGGUGGUUGCUGACCUGCGUGACCACGUCACGCGUGCAGCCCAAGGGGCGGGGCGAGUGCGACGUGGCCGUGCGCUCACUUCCUGGUGCGUGGCGAGAGCUACGUGGCUCUCGUGCAAUGCGACCAAUUGCUCAUCCCAGGUGCCAUAAAUGCUAAAUGCUUUCAAGCUAUCAAUUCUGGCUCAGUGAUUCUGCAUGCUCUAUUACUAUAGUACUAUAC